rnacentral:snRNA from 1 species
AUCUUUGCGCUUGGGGCAAUGACGCAGCUAAUGAGGUUCUAACCGAGGCGCGUCUAUUGCUGGUUGAAAACUAUUUCCAAACCCCCUCCUGGGCCCAAGCUUGUCUUGGGCCUUCGAGAAUUUCUGGAAGGGCUCCCUUCGGGGUAAAGCC